GCCUCGGUAGCUGAGAGGCAGCGCGCGUCUCAUAAUCACUCCAGCGAGUAACCAGGUCGUGAGUUCGAUCCUCACCCGGGGCA